UACGGGGGGGGCAAGCGUUGUUCGGAAUUACUGGGCGUAAAGGGUUUGUAGGUGGCCCGCUAAGUCACACGUGAAAUCCCUCAGCUUAACUGGGGAACUGCGUGUGAGACUGGCAGGCUCGAGGGCAGGAGAGGAACGCGGAAUUCCAGGUGUAGCGGUGAAAUGCGUAGAUAUCUGGAGGAACACCGGUGGCGAAGGCGGCGACCUGGGUCAGAUACGUGACGCAUGAG
rnacentral:rRNA from 1 species